AUUGAAGCAGGAUGGAGCAGUUUUCUUCGGCACAGCGUUCCGCUAAAAUGGCCGCUGCUACACAAACGUGACGUUGUCGCCCGAACUCUAUAGGACAGGGGCAGCACCAUGCUCUGGGGCUGCUCUUCAGCAGAAGAUACAAGAAAAACAUGGCUCCCAUCAAAGGCAGUAGGAAUUCAGUAGGAAUUCACCUACACAGAAGAAAAUCACCCAGGAGAACCUUGAUCAUGUUACAUCAUUAUCAACAGAUCUCUGUCUGGGUCAAGGAUCCAUGGUUCAGCAAGCCAACUUCCCAAAGCACUUAUCACAAAUAUGAAGUAGGCUAAUGCUUUUGUAAAGGUUGUGGAAUGGUGCAAGAAGGCCUUUGGCAAUAAAGGGACAGAGAGAGAGAGAGAGAGAGAGAGAGAGAAUCAGAUUUGAGAU